GGCGGCGGGGGGAGCGCUCAGCUGCGGCGGACCCAGGAGUCGCCUUGCGUGCGAAAGUCGUCGCUGCACUUCCGGCCCUCCCCCGAGAGGGCCAGCCGGGAGAGGCAAGUAUAGCCUUCUCCGGCGAUCCAGGUCCUCGCAUAAUGUCCCCGACGUAGAAUCAUUUGAGCCUGGUCAUUGUGUGCCUCCAGCGAGAACUCUGGAUUGAUUUAUUUCAAUGAUCCCUUAGAUCCUGAAGUUUCUAUAUACCUCUGAUGCUACAAGAAAAUGAUAGACAUCCAAGGCCAAACCUCAUUGGAAAACAUAAUGCAUAUUUAUUAGAUUUAGGAUACUACCAGAUCGAGUGAGUCUUUUCUUCUUUUUUUCCCUCCCCAUCAUACAUACAUUAUGGACAGAGUGUUGACUGGGUCACAUUUUAUACAUAUUUAUAAUCAUAAUUUCAGUAUAUUCUAAUUUCCACACUUCCAUUAAUAUUCAUCUCCUUUAUAUAAUCUUUUCUUUUUUCCCAUUAAUUCAUUUAAGCUUACAUAUCAUUG